rnacentral:misc_RNA from 1 species
GAUGAAGAACGCAGCGAAAUGCGAUAAGUAGUGUGAAUUGCAGAAUUCAGUGAAUCAUCGAAUCUUUGAACGCACAUUGCGCCCCUUGGUAUUCCAUGGGGCAUGCCUGUUCGAGCGUCAUUUGUACCUUCAAGCUUUGCUUGGUGUUGGGUGUUUGUCUCGCCUUUGCGUGUAGACUCGCCUUAAAAUAAUUGGCAGCCGGCGUAUUGAUUUCGGAGCGCAGUACAUCUCGCGCUUUGCACUCAUAACGACAGCGUCCAAAAGUACAUUUUACACUCUUGACCUCGGAUCAGGUAGGGAUACCCGCUGAACUUAAGCAUAUCAAUAACGGAGGA